GAUGAAGAACGUAGCGAAAUGCGAUAAGUAAUGUGAAUUGCAGAAUUCAGUGAAUCAUCGAAUCUUUGAACGCACCUUGCACCCUUUGGCAUUCCGAAGGGUAUGCUCGUUUGAGUGUCAUUGUACUCUCACACUCUCCGAUCCUAUGGAUUCGGGGAGCGGUGGACUUGGGUGUUGCUGCCUUUCCCUGUGGCUCACCUCAAAUGCGUCAGUGCACCUCUUGGUUGGACAUAGUACGGCGUGAUAAGUGUCUUCGCCGGCGCCUCUGUAAGGAGGGUGGCCGAUCGGGAGCUCUGUGCUUCAAACCGUCUUCGGACAAUCUUUGACAACUUGACCUCAAAUCGAGUAGGACUACCCGCUGAACUUAAGCAUAUCAAUAAGCGGAGGA
rnacentral:misc_RNA from 1 species